CCUACGGGGGGCAGCAGUGGGGAAUAUUGCACAAUGGGCGCAAGCCUGAUGCAGCCAUGCCGCGUGUGUGAAGAAGGCCUUCGGGUUGUAAAGCACUUUCAGCGGGGAGGAAGGCGUUAAGGUUAAUAACCUUGGCGAUUGACGUUACCCGCAGAAGAAGCACCGGCUAACUCCGUGCCAGCAGCCGCGGUAAUACGGAGGGUGCAAGCGUUAAUCGGAAUUACUGGGCGUAAAGCGCACGCAGGCGGUCUGUCAAGUCGGAUGUGGAAUCCCCGGGCUCAACCUGGGAACUGCAUUCGAAACUGGCAGGCUAGAGUCUUGUAGAGGGGGGUAGAAUUCCAGGUGUAGCGGUGAAAUGCGUAGAGAUCUGGAGGAAUACCGGUGGCGAAGGCGGCCCCCUGGACAAAGACUGACGCUCAGGUGCGAAAGCGUGGGGAGCAAACAGGAUUAGAUACCCCAGUAGUC
rnacentral:rRNA from 1 species